GUCACUGUGGCGCAAUAGGUUAGCGCAUUCGGCUGUUAACCGAGAGGUUGGUGGUUCGAGUCCUCCCAGUGACG